UGUUAAAAUUUUCAUUUAUUUGUACUAUUAAAAACCAACGUGGCUGACGGAAUAAUCAAACAUUGACACGUAGCAUGCCAUGUGUACUUAAUGUUCAUGUAUAGAAACCAGUUUUUAAUAGCAGAGAUGGAUAGAAUUUUUUAACA
rfam:Gossypium raimondii Chr05_contig_98, whole genome shotgun sequence.